UACGGAGGGUGCAAGCGUUAUCCGGAUUCACUGGGUUUAAAGGGUGCGUAGGUGGGUCUGUAAGUCAGUGGUGAAAUCUCCGGGCUUAACUCGGAAAUUGCCAUUGAUACUAUAGGUCUUGAAUCAUCUGGAGGUAAGCGGAAUAUGUCAUGUAGCGGUGAAAUGCUUAGAUAUGACAUAGAACACCAAUUGCGAAGGCAGCUUACUACGGAUGUAUUGACACUGAGGCACGAAAGCGUGGGGAUCAAACAGG
rnacentral:rRNA from 1 species